GACGAACGUUGGCGGCGUGCUUAAUACAUGCAAGUCAACUGAAGCAGUGGUAGCAAUAUCGCUGUGGAGGUGGCGCACGGGUGAGUAACACGUAGGUAAUCUGCCUUCAGGUCUGGCAUAACUCCGGGAAACCGGGGCUAAUAGCAGAUGAUGCAGCGGCUCGACAUCGAGACAGUUGUUAAAGCUAUGGCGCCUGAAGAUGAGCCUGCGUCUGAUUAGCUAGCUGGCGGGGUAACGGCCCACCAAGGCAACGAUCAGUAGCUGGUCUGAGAGGAUGAUCAGCCACACUGGAACUGAGACACGGUCCAGACUCCUACGGGAGGCAGCAGUAAGGAAUAUUGCUCAAUGGGAGAAAUCCUGAAGCAGCAACGCCGCGUGAGGGACGAAGGGCUUUUGCUUGUAAACCUCUGUAGUGAGAGAAAAAAAUCCCAAUCUUUGGGACAUGAUGGUAUCUCAAAAGUAAGCCCCGGCUAACUACGUG
rnacentral:rRNA from 1 species